rnacentral:rRNA from 1 species
AGUGAACGCUGGCGGUAGGCCUAACACAUGCAAGUCGAACGGCAGCACAGAGGAGCUUGCUCCUUGGGUGGCGAGUGGCGGACGGGUGAGGAAUACAUCGGAAUCUACUCCGUCGUGGGGGAUAACGUAGGGAAACUUACGCUAAUACCGCAUACGACCUACGGGUGAAAGCAGGGGACCUUCGGGCCUUGCGCGAUUGAAUGAGCCGAUGUGGGAUUAGCUAGUUGGCGGGGUAAAGGCCCACCAAGGCGACGAUCCGUAGCGGGUCUGAGAGGAUGAUCAGCCACACUGGAACUGAGACACGGUCCAGACUCCUACGGGAGGCAGCAGUGGGGAAUAUUGGACAAUGGGCGCAAGCCUGAUCCAGCCAUACCGCGUGGGUGAAGAAGGCCUUCGGGUUGUAAAGCCCUUUUGUUGGGAAAGAAAUCCAGCUGGCUAAUACCCGGUUGGGAUGACGGUACCCAAAGAAUAAGCACCGGCUAACUUCGUGCCAGCCGCCGCCGUAA